GGGAGGAAAAGAAACUAACAAGGAUUUUCUUAGUAGCGGCGAGCGAAAAGAAAACAGUUCAGCACUAAGUCACUUUGUCUUAAUGGCAAAUGUGAGAUGCAGUGUAUGGAAUGUCAAAUUUCUAGUAUGAGAAAUUAACGAUUUAAGUCCUUCUUAAAUGAGGCCAUUUACCCAAAGAGGGUGCCAGGCCCGUAUAACGUUAAUGAUUACUAGAUGGCAUUUCCAAAGAGUCGUGUUGCUUGAUAGUGCAGCACUAAGUGGGUGGUAAACUCCAUCUAAAACUAAAUAUAACCAUGAGACCGAUAGUAAACAAGUACCGUGAGGGAAAGUUGAAAAGAACUCUGAAUAGAGAGUUAAAUAGUACGUGAAACUGCUUAGAGGUUAAGCCCGAUGAACCUGAAUAUCCGUUAUGGAAAAUUCAUCAUUAUGAUUUUAAUAUUUAUAAUAUUAUAAUAAUGGUGUGCAUUUUUUCUAUAAAGGACAUUGUAAUCUAUUAACAUAAAUAUAUUUAUCAUAAGAUCAAGUAUGCGUAAGUUUAUUCAAAUUAUUUUGCUUGCAAUUUAACAUAGAAUAAAUGCUCUUGAUUUGAUAAAGUGUUGAUAGAUUUAUUAUAUAUAGUGCUUAAAUAUUUAUAUUUUAUAAUAGCAUAUUAAUCAUUGAUUUUUAUGUUUAUUAUAUGCACUUAUAUGAUUAACAAUGCGAAAGAUUCAGGAUACCUUCGGGACCCGUCUUGAAACACGGACCAAGGAGUCUAACAUAUUUGCAAGUUAUUGGGAAUAAAAACCUAAUAGCGAAAUUAACAUAACUUAUUAAUGGGAUUAGUUUUUAGCCUAUUUAUAGUCUAUUAAUUCAAUCCCGGGGCGUUCUAUCAGUUAUGUAUAAUAAUAUUUAUAUUAUUUAUACCUCUAACUAGAGCGUACCUUGAGCAUAUAUGCUGUGACCCGAAAGAUGGUGAACUAUACUUGAUCAGGUUGAAGUCAGGGGAAACCCUGAUGGAAGACCGAAACAG
rnacentral:rRNA from 1 species